AAUGUGCAAAAAAUUUAAAUCUACUAAUUCAGUUAAAACACGGGGAAAACAUGGUGUCAACCACGUGCCAACGCACGCGUGUUAGCCGGCAUGUCAACGGCGUCUGACACGCCGGCUGAGAAAAAGAAGAGGAAAGAAAAAAAGAAGGAUACGCCAAGAAACCAAACUAAGUGUUGUUGCCUAUAGCUUGAAAUUUAGCAUAGCAGAUAGAUUAUAAAGCUCCUUUUGAAAUGUUUAUGCCUAUUUGUUGCAAUGCCUUGAACUUAUAGAUAAGGUAUGAUUCUCUGUAUUUUCUUUCUCGUUCAGAACGGAAAUUUGUGAGAUGUAGAGUUGUCAUUUUCAGUUGUCAUUUCAUGCAGUUCUUGGCGUUGCUCACGAAAUAAAUUUUGAUGUCAGUCACUUUGUGCUGCUAUAAUUAGACGCCAUGUCACAGUGUCAACCUCAAAUUAAUAAAGCAAAUUAGCUUACAGUUUCUAUACAUACUGUCUUCGCAGGAGUUUGAUCUCUGUAUGAAAGCUGCAAAAUGUACUCAAACAAAGCAUAGUUUAAAAAUGUACAAGAAGCAACAUCAUUCUUGUCACUUUUUUAUAUCUUCUUUUUCUUCAAUUCCAUUACGCUUCGCUCCAAAAUUUUGCCCUGAGAAAAACAAAUGCUUGAUCCUCAUAAGGAAAAGAGAAAAGAAGUCACUGAACCUCUUCUUCAUAACUACUGAGUUCCUCAACAUGUCUACGAUUCAACUUUGUAACGCUAGUUCUGUGCAUUACACACCCUGAAAUGCAGACUGAACAUACAAGUGUCCAGGGUACUUAAUCUUCUUUCUUCUUCUAAAUUACCCCAUAAGAUAUUCUGCACAGCCAACGUGGGCUUACAAUAAACUGAUUCCCCUUGACACACUGCAUACAUGUAACAUUUGCUUUAUUUUAUUAUCCUGAUCAGCUUUCAAGUCAUAGAAGGAAAAGGUGGAGAAAGACACACGCAGUCACUUCAUUGCAAGGACAGGUACAGAGACUUGCGGCCACCUGAAAAAGAAGCAUUUCUACUUCGUCUGUCACCGGUCUGGAAGUUAUGCUUCACAAGCUACAAGUAAACAAAAGCUGAAGCGGCCUUCAAGUGUCAAGUGUGGAAAAAGAUGUUUUGCGGCAAUGGCUGUGACUGAAGACAACACAGGUGUGUAUGUGGUUUUCCAAUUCAAGCACAGAGGCCACGACUUUGAACUGGGUCGUGUUUUUCUGUCCAAGUCGGAAAGAGCCGCUAUUGCUGACAAGCUGCGAGAAGGCGUGUCCAUGGAUGCAGUACUGGAUAAUGUGCGGUCCAACGUGGAUGAGACAUUCCACCGCAUUAACCUGUUAAGCAAGUGGGAUCUUCGCAAAAUAAUGAGGGAUGCCAGAGUCUCGAAGACCGAGCGGCUGCACGAU